AGCCUUUUGAAUUUAUAAAAGGUGUGUUCUGCCCGGUGUAUAAUAUUAACGGCCGCAGUAUCUUAACUGUGCGAAGGUAGCAUAAUAAUUUGCCCUUUAAUUGGGGGCUGGUAUGAAUGAAUUUACGAGGUUAAAGCUGUUUCAUUUUAAUAAAUAAAAAUUGGUUUUUAGGUGAAGAAACCUAAAUUUUAAUGAAGGACGAAAAGACCCUAUUGAGCUUUAUUUUUACAAAGUUUCUGGUUAUAAAUUUAUUUAAUUUUAUAAAAAUUUGGUUGGGGCAACUAAGAAAUAUGAAAAUCUUUCUUUAUAUUGUGGAAUAUUUUUCUUUUUAAAGAUCUAUUUUUUUAAAAAAUAAUAAAUAGAAAAAGUUACCAUAGGGAUAACAGGCUAAUCUCUUUAGAGAGUUCAAAUCGAUAAAGAGGCUUGGCACCUCGAUGUUGGCUUAAAGUAUCCGGCAGGUGUAGCAGCUUGCAAAGGUUGGUUUGUUCAACCAUUAAAACUUUA
rnacentral:rRNA from 1 species